CAGCGGACAGAAUGGAGCAAGCAG
rnacentral:miRNA from 1 species